UUUAGGCAAAAUGCUAUUUGAGAAAUCAAAUAAUUAUUUUCUCAAGAAAAUUUGUCAUAAGCAAGUGCACUUGUGCAACAUCUUCAAAAUAAUAAUCCUCUUUAGCGACAUUAAUAGCAGACAUAUCUUACCGUACUGCCAAUAUACCGCAGUACUUGUAAAAUAUAAAAAUAAAGCAAGAUAUACCGGGGGAGUUUAUGUAUCUCGAUAACAAGACACCGAUGGAAUCGCGAAAACAGGAAUAUCCUUUCGUGGAAUUUGAUUGGGCCGUCGAAAGGCUUCCACAUUUUCCCCGAAUAUAUUCGCGCGCAUAUGUAAAUAUUAUAUUAUACAAGCCGUGCAUAUACGCGUAUAUUCGUCUACGUGGAGAGAUAUAUGUAUAUAUAGGCAGAUGGGACGCAGACGCCGGCGUCGCGACGUUCGACGGUACAGUUCCCGUCGGACGGUCCUUCGAGAUGGUAGGAUUCGCUCCCGGAUCUACUCUCAGUCCUUCCUACGCUUUCGUCCCGGCACAUCCUCCUUUCCUUUCUUUCUUCAAGGAUGUUCCAUUCACAUGGAAUCCAAGAUCGUGUAUAAUAUUCGGUCGUGAUUAGAAAAAAAAAAGAAUGAUUGAAUGAAUUAAAUUUCUUACUUUCGCUCUGUUGUCAUUUUUCAAAUUCAACAUUAGUGAAGUGAAAUACUCUUUUGCAAAAAUAAAUUUACUCUAUCGAUAACAGCAGUAUUUCAAAAAUAGAAAAUUGUAGUUAUGACUCGUUAAUUGUGUAUGCAUACAAAGACUCGUGUCGUAGUUUCGUGUAAUUUGUAUAAUUGAUUGAAACCAGAUGUCUUGUUACUGCUAGGUCAAAAACACCCAAGUGUCUUCGAGGGAAUGCAACAGCUGAUUGUUUCGCUCUCGCGGAACGUCAAGCAUCCCUCGUCGCGAUUAAUUACGUAACCCUCGCCACCUCUCCGCGGCCAACCCUCCCGGCGCUCUUAAUCACCAUCCCUUCCUCUGCACGCUAUUUCUCAUUCAUUUCCACCUUCCCUUUCACCCGCCUCGACGUUCCACACUUUCACCUACAUUAUUUACCUUCUUACUCUCCGCGUUCCGACGGUGUUUUAAAAAUUAAAUAAAUCAAGUUCAUUUUUAUGUUCGACAAAUUUCGCGAUUUUUUUGUUAUUAUUAAAAUUUGACGCGAUUAUUCGUGAGAAGGAGAAGAAGAAAAUUGGCAGGAUUCUUCUACGAUGAUCAGCUAUGUGCUGGAAGAAAAUGGACAAUCGUGUCAUCCAGUGAUACUACAGUCAUCUUAAAAUAUUAACAGAAGAUAUAUGACUCGGAUAAUACAAUUAACAGUACGCAGAAAGAUCUAAAAAAGGAGGGAAGAAACGAGCGAUCGGGACCGAUAAGAUUUCGAAUCGUUUUCCGGUCGUUGGAGGGUUCUUCCGCCACGCUGAAAUUGUCGAUCGUCUGCCAAGCACCGCUGUUAACCGGACUUUUACGACCCGAACCGCUAGCUGGAAAAGCUGAAAAAGGUGUAGCGUGGAGCAGUGAAACAGCAAACAGAAGAGAAAAAGAAAGGGAAAGAGACGGAGAAUCGUACAUAAGGAGACAUUUCCGUGGCGUUGUUUGUAUGCCGUUCGCGAUAGCUAGCUCGUACACGGCAACGACUCUCCUGUUUCCGGUAUGCACCUCGACAUCUUCAUCCCGUUUCGAACGGUGCUGUUUCAUGAGAUCGUAUACUUUGUUUAAUCGAUUUCACAGAAAAACCAAAUGAUUUUCCUGUUUUAAUAUCCUUUCACUAUUAGACGUCUUCGAUUGGUUCUGCUUUAACUUAAACCUCGCAUACUUCAAAUAUUUUAAUCAUACCUCGCAAUCUUUUCUAAAUUAAAAUUUCACAAUUACCAUCUACCUUUCGAUUCUUCAAACAAAGUUCCGCAAACGCGUCAAAUUUUUCCAAUCUUUAUCCACCAUUUAAUAAGCAAUCGUGUAAUUAACCUUAAGAUAAUUUAAUUAAACGCACGACUAUGCAUUUCUCGUUAAUUGCACAGUUUCUUCAAUCAUCUUUUCCGCAAUACUCGUAAUAACGAAACAUUCUUGAUAAACAAGCAUCGAGUAAACACUUGCGUCAGAAAAAUGAAUAUUAUUAGAGAAUUCUAUUCGUACCACAGAAAUUAAAAUAGCCCUCAUGAAACACAAACCUGCAUUCCAGUCUCAAAGAAAAAUUCACUGAAUGUUGCUAUAUGCAAUUGUGUAUGUCUCUCGAAUUUUUCUAACAACUCGAUUUUCUAAGAUUCCUCUGAGAAUAAAAAAAUUAAUAUUUCAUAAGGAACGUCAGGGAAAAUGGCCAAGAAUUUCGACGAGAGAAUGGUACGAACCUCCGUUCGACAGCGGGGAGUCCCUUAUCACGGAAUUAAUUAAAAUUGAAAUCUAACAAGGGAAGAGAUUUAAUUAGUAGGAUAGGGGUUGUUGACCAUGGAUGAACUUCGCGGUUGAUUCGAUAUCGAUGUCGACUUGCAUCGCAUGUAAAAUAAAAAUUCCUUUGAAAAAUAUUCAUGUAACCAAUCUCUAUAAA